UACAGAGGUGGCAAGCGUUUGUUCGGAAUUACUGGGCGUAAAGGGCGCGUAGGCGGCCUUCUAAGUCAGACGUGAAAUCCCCAGGCUUAACUUGGGAACUGCGUCUGAUACUGGGAGGCUUGAAUGCGGGAGAGGGAUGUGGAAUUCCAGGUGUAGCGGUGAAAUGCGUAGAUAUCUGGAGGAAUACCGGUGGCGAAGGCGGCAUCCUGGACCGACAUUGACGCUGAACGGCGAAAAGCUAGGGGAGCAAACGGG
rnacentral:rRNA from 1 species